rnacentral:tRNA from 1 species
GUUAAAGUAGUUUAAUAUAAAACAUUGAUUUUGUAAAUCAAAAAUAAAAAUUCUUUAACU